CAGUCGGCCAGAGACGUCUAACAGCAAGAAGCGUGUGACGGUCGUCGUGUCACUGAUGGUAAAGUAUACGGUGCCUCAGCAGCAUCAUCAGCCGCCACAGACUGGACAGCCAGCUAGCGCCACUCUACGUAAGUGAAAACGAGGGAGAAACCAAAGAUAAGAAGGGAACGCCGAAGGGGAGCCGUAUCAUAAGGUGUCCAGUUAACUCUAUCUUCAGCCGGCCCUAAACUCUACGCGGAAGCUGCAAGAGAGAGUGACAAACGUACCAUACGGCGGCAUACGGCACUUACUCCCUAUCUUAAGAGCCUAUGUGUAUGUCUCAUUCCAUACGCUAAUGAUGGAUAAUAAUAAUUACUAUUAUUAUUAUUGGUAUAGUAAUAUUACUAGCGUCUGUUUUCAAUAAGCGUCAACUAGUUAUCGACGAUCGUCAACGAAAUUUCGACGAAGAGGAAAACGAAAAGGGCGAGGAGCAGGAGAUGACGCCAACAAAAGAGCUUUGAGUUGUAUCUGCGUGUAUGUGUAUUUGAGUGUGUACACCUGUGCCUGUUGUCAUUUUCGGUCUCGACCGGAAGUGAAUAGUUAUAAUCCCAAUUUCUAGACGGAAAUGCUUUAAUGUCGAGACGGAUACGGUACAACGAAACAAUAUCACUGCAGUGACUAACGACUAUGGCUAGGCCAGAGAAAUAUAUAUACAUUGUUCAAUACAAAUGCGGACAAAGAUGAGCGUCGAGUUUUUGCUCUGUCCCUUGGCCUCUUUGUCAAGUGUGUUUCUGCGUCAUUUUAUACAAUCGUUCUCAAUUAGCAAUGCAAAAAAGAUAAGCGUCAAAAGUGCGAUAGCUUAGCAUCGCAAAGAAAGAUAACAAAGUGUUAGUUGAGGUGUCGCGUGCCGAUAUUUCUCUCCUAGUGAUGAGUGUGCAGUCGUGUAAUAAUAGUACGUUCUCGUUCUGAAGAGAGGGAGAGAGAGGGUGAGCGACCGACCAAGCAAAAAAGAGAGAGACGAAGCGUUCAAUGCGGAAACAGUACAGGUCAAACCGUCGCCGUAGCUGACACAUUGGCUAGAAUUAGUGCAACUAAAUGUCUAAGUGUUCCCGUUCAUCUUCAGGAUGCUGACGUCGCCGUUUGACAGACUCUUCAUCGCGUGACUCGGAUGCAGACCCACCAGUUCUAGUUGCCUGUUGUGUUGCUAGCGAGUUCACUCGGGGUAUGUUUGAUAUACUGAGCAAUAACGCUUGUUGAAAAGGAAGCAUUGUUUUACGUCUACCCGACGAGACGGGCGGUGACGAGGACUACGGCACCGCCUGUUGUUGAUUACUGGAGUGACUGCCGUUGUUUUGUGGUUUCGAAUAUCUCUUUGCUUUCAGUUGUAUCAUUGUAGUAUAUAAUCGUGGUCAUUUCCCUUAUCACUACAAAGCCGGUAGUCUAAUGUGCACUACGCGCCACUACCGAGCACGCUGACGUCGAGUAGGAUUGAUUGCGGGUGUCAGCGUUAACUACACUGAUUGACUGUGCCGUUCCAUCGAAUCUGAUCGAUCCGAUCCCCGGUUUUCACCCCUCUCCUCUUCCUUCCUCCUUAUCUCUUGCUAGAGGUUCUUCAGUUAUGUGCAUCCGCAGCGUGAGAGGAGCGACACAACAGACAGAGUCAAAAUCAUAAUGAAAUAAUAGAGUCUGCGGAGUCUUACUAAUUGACAUCGAGUUUUUCAUUAGUUUAAAGUCUUUCGGCCAUCCCGUUCGUUCGACCUUUUCUACGAAUUGGCGGGACAAUCGACCGUAGCAAACCAACGCUCUGACACAGGCGAGGUCGACUGAUCGGUAGAGCUGCAAGCCGUCCGCAGGUGGCUAUUCGACUCGAUCAACACAAGCUACUGUUAUUACUCGUACAACUGGUAUUAACAGUAACAAGCAUACGAACGAAGCCGACGAGAGUUCGGUCGUCGGCGAGCAGCGCACCUCUAAUCAGUCAACAUGCUGGUUAUGGCCAGCUUGAACAACCUAAACGGUAUCAGUAGUGGUGGUCUGCCCAGCCAGACGUCGCUUUAUCAAACAGCCGGUAUUCCUCCGGCAGCCUCGGAACCUCCGCAGGUAUUUCAACCGCAGGAAACCUCAGAGCAGCAAUUAAAGGGGUCAGUCUCUGGAGAUGAGCGUUCGCCUCCACUCGCAAUAUCAUGUGCGGCCGGUGCUGGGCACAAGACAGCCGCCGCCGGCGGCCCGAUCGGGGCACCCCCACCUACCGAGCACCAUCAGCAGCCCCAACAGCCCGAUGUAGGCCCGCCAAUGAUUCCCAGCGACGAAGAGCUGGCCGCUAGUCAACAACUGUCCGAGGCAGCGGCCACACUCGAGGCUUUGAAUGGACCUAAACGUUUACACGUGUCCAAUAUCCCAUUCCGUUUUCGUGAACCAGAUUUAAGGCAACUCUUUGGCGAGUUCGGCGUUAUUCUUGACGUGGAAAUCAUCUUUAAUGAAAGGGGAUCCAAGGGUUUCGGCUUUGUAACGUUUGCUCUGGGGUCUGAUGCAGACCGUGCUCGGAACGCACUGAAUGGUGCCGUUGUUGAGGGACGAACUAUCGAGGUUAACAACGCCACCGCACGAGUGCAUACGAAACGAGCGGCAUCGCUUGCGGCAUCAACUGCCGCGGCGGUUGCUGCAGCCGCUGCGGCUGCCCAAAACGGCGCUCAGAACGGCUUAGCUAGCGGUGCGCUGUCGGGGCCGGGGAGUGGAAGCUGCCUUCCACCGCCUCCGCCGCCAGGUGGCGAUACUGCCGGCGGUCGACGGUUGUCUCCCGUUGGUCCCCUCGGCCCUGGGGGUACGGUUCAGGGGGCUCCAUCCUCCCUGGCCUUAGCGACGGCUGCUGCCUCCCGACUCGCCGCGUCACCGCUCGCUGCCCUGACAGCCGGGAUCUACCAGGACCCCCUGCUAGCCACAUACGCGGCCAAUGCAGCACUGGCGGCACAAGGCGCUUUGCCGGCAAGUUAUGCGGCGUCAGCGGCGUAUGGGGUAUCAGCUGCCCGUCAGUAUGCAGCAGCUGCUCAGUUAGCGUGCGCUGGCCAAGCUCAAGCAGGGGCAGGGCCGACGGCGGCGGCGGCGCCCCCGCCACCUCCCGCUGGCUCGACACAGCUCGCCGCUGCGGCGGCGGCGGCAGCGGCGGCCGCAGCAGCUGCGGGUUAUCCUCAGGCUGCAGCGGCGGCCUCGAUGGCCGGCAAUCCCGCCGCAGCUAUGUACUACGCCGCUGUAGCUGCCCAAGCUGCUGCACCGACAGUUUAUAGCGGGUUAGACCCAUACCAGCAUCUCACGUCAGCGGCAGCGGCAGCUGCGGCUCAAAAUGGGCUUUCAGCAUUAUCUGCCGCGCAGGGAUACACGCCACUCAUUAGAGGUGGCGGGCCCGGAUCGGUAUCUGGAGCGCCGGCUCCUUCACAGUCCGCUGGUUCUGUGUCCACAUCAACGGGCCCGGAUGGCCUAUCACAGCAGCAGGCAGAAAUUUUGCGACGGAUUCACCAAUCGCGCACCCUUCAGCAACAAAACGCGCUUUACAAGAACUCAGUUCGUUUUAUGCCAUAUUGACUGAUGUGAGCACUACAUCACAAUAGAAUAUAGAUUUAGCUCUAGUUUAGGUAGGUCAUAUAAUUUGAUUGAGCCAAACCUCGAAAGGGCAUAAUGAAGUUAUAGGAAAGUAUCAUUCUUAAAGUAUUGUGCUGUCUCCCCACGCUGACCAGCUUAGUCUAAGGAGCGAAGAAAGAAGAUAUGAAUGAGAACGAAGUCUCAUGCUAGUCGAAAAGUGAACGCACCUAGUCCGAAGAUGGCAAUCGUAACCUGGAUGCCCGUCGUGCUAAUUUUCAAUCAGUGUCGUAGAGAAACAUCUACUGAGCGAAUUUCGUCUUUCUCCAACAUCAAUGCCAUGUCGGUGCGCAAAAGGAGAAGGAGGCAGGCAGUACCUCUCACUUGGCGAACUGUCUAGCUGAAAGAAGGACACGACCAUUUAGGAGCUACAUAGCUACAGCCUAACUGCGCGUGCCACGCACGUCGUCGACCUGAAGAGGGUUUUCGUGCGCUCGUUUGAUGGACGUUCUAGCGCUAGUGAUGGCUACUUCCUAGUGAAGCGUGCGGCGAGCAUGUGUGACAUCCUAUUUAUAUCCUGAUUAUUACUGAUGUGGUUCAGAAGAGAUGAGCUCGACAACACGACUAUAUCGAUUCAAGCAAAACUGUUUCCGAAUCUCGCCAUGUCAACAAGAUGGCGACAUGUAGAGCAUCAGCAAGACGCUAACUAUAACCGAAUGCUUAUUCUUAAUGUAUGAUUAGUGACCUGAGGAUACAGGCGACUAGUAGCCAUAGUGGGCUAAUGCAGGUGCAAUAAUGGACUAGUAAUGGGAAGAAACACAACAAACGAUAGCCCAUAUUGAGUCCGUUCGGAAGAAACGCUGAAAACCUCGAGCUUUUUCACGUGGACUAGAGAGAGGUGUCACAGUAAUUUUGAGCUAAAUAAGUUCACAACUGACAGCCAAACAAAGCUGAGCUCAUAAGACGUUUUUAACGAUUCAUUGAAGUUCUUCGACAACGGUGUCGGGUUGUUCGGUAGUAUUAUUUUGAGCAGUUCUUUGAUUUGUGACCUAACUUGGUGCACGUUAUUAGGCUAGGGGAGACGCUUGUCCCUUACACUAGUUUAUUGCGUUGUCGUCUGCUAGUUCGAGUUACCUGUUGGGUGAUAGAAAGAGCCAAUGUGUAGUUAAGCGGUAGCUUUUUGAACGUGUCUCUUCAACACUUUUCGCAAUUAUUUCGUGACAAAAGCUUUGUUGGUGUCAGGGCUGGUCGUAGAAUGUUUUGCUAUCAUGAUUGAAUGUUUACAAGAUUGUAGCGUUUAUAUCGAUAGAUGAGGCAAGCUAUGGGUGGUAGGACGUGGCAGCGGCUAUAGCGAGUAUUUACGAUUUCGGUUUCCUCGCUACUUUGCAUAUUAAACAAUCUAUUCAUAUCGCUAUCGACGCAUAAUCUUUGGUAACAUAUAGAUUGUUCUAUUUAGCGCCUAGUAACAAACGCAACGACCCAAUGGUCCUCGGACGACACUCGGUCUAACAACACUGCUUCACUACAUCGACAGUGAAACACCGUUCACUAACGCCUGUAAUAUUAAUACACCUAUACUUGAAGCGCUAAGCAUCUCUCCCCGAAGCAGCAAGAGCACGCGACUGGGCUUUCUGAUCAUAUCCUUUAGAAGCCAACAAUGUUAUUAAAAAACAAAAAAAAGAAACGUUUUUUUGACCCAAUUACUAAUUCCAACGAACGAAGCAAUGUGCAACAAACUCUACAUAUACACACACACACACACACACACACACACACACGCAUACGGGAAAUGCAGGCACAGAGAGUUCACGUGACAAACGAGAGGAAGCACGGCAGAACAGGCGGGCAAUCCUAGCUUUAUAAAUAUAUACGGAUGAUAAAAAUUUAUAUUGCUCUGAUGCACAUGUUAUGCUUGGGCUGAAAGUAUUACCGACAGAUAUCGUAAUCUAGGGAAAUGUUUCAGCCAUUCUCGGCACAUAGCAACGAAGCACACAGAGAUCUAUCAAAGAAAAUAGAAUUAGUUGAACGCAGUCUAUGGAUAGGUAAACCGCGUCUGAUCUGUUCGGGACGUGAGAAAUUUCUCAGCUAAUCUGAGUAAGUCGUAUAAGUUUAGCAGUAACGCUACUGGCUAAUUUUGUAUUCGGCCGUCUGACAUUAUCAUUAACGAAAAGAAAAAAAAAGUUCAAAGAUGAGUGGAAUUUAGUGACAAUGCUGAUUAUUUGUAUACUCGAUGCAUAUAUAAGUGCCAGAAUUCAAUAGGUCCGAGUCGUUGUCGACUGCGCGAAACAGUCACAACGUAAAACGUCAUUAUGGGAACUUUGUCAUUAUGUACAUUGCUCGUAUUCAUUCUUAUAUCACCUAUUUAACAUCGCAGGGAGAUCGUCACGGUUUAUUUCGCCUGGUAAAUCGGAACUAUUACCAUAUCAAAGUGUGUCAUGCCACAGAGAUGAAACUAAUAGAUAAUAAUACUCUACAAGAAGAACUUAGUUUCGCACGUUGUUUUUAAAUAUCCUUUUCUGUAUUUUACGUAUACUUACAGACCUAAUAAGGAAAAUCGUCUAUAGAGUCAAUUUCACAGUUGCAGUGUGAACGAGCAGAUUUGAUCUCAGUGCCGUAUUGCGGCAGGCUGACGUGCAUCAAGGAAACCAUAACAGUAUAGUAUUCAUGUUGAUGACACUUCUUGCCAUUUCUGCCCCAUAAUUAUACGUAGGUUUCGUACGUAGGGUACGUACGUACGUUUCAUUCGGGACAAGCAACGCCCAGUGUGACGUCAGCGACGAAAAAAAUCGUCGGGCCCUAAAAUUUUUAGAAGACACCCGUUAAAACUAGUCAAUUUAAACGCCGUUCGUUUCUAUUCAGUAUAUAAUAUUGGUUUAUAGAGCGAGAGCAAGUAGCGGAACUGCGCGAAAUGCAGGCUGCUACUUAUAGUAGGAGAAUCAACGAUGCUACAAUUCUAUCUAGCGACCCUACGUUGUCCGCAUCCUUCGUGCGUCAUCGGCAACAAAGUAAAGCUGUCAUGAAGUUUCGUUUGACCACAUUCGUUCCCGAAUUGAAGGGCUGGCCUCGGCGUUGUCCAGGCGGUUGGUUAGCAGCUACAUGAAGCGAGCGGAAGCGGUCCGGUAUCUGCGUAUUCGUUUCCUUUAAAUCUCUGCCAAAGUAAAAACGAGCUGCUCUGCAAGCUUUUAUCAGCUUUCUGAUGACCUUUAGUUCUCAGAUAAGACCUGAACAAACACAAGUACUCUGGGGACGUGAAUCUCCAUAUCGUAAUCACUAGUAAAUCUGCUCCUACUAAAGACGCCCUUAUUCAGUGAAACAUACAGAUCAUUAGAGUUGUAUUGAUUUUAUUUAUGAACAUAUUUUAAAUCAUAGAUACAAUUAUAUACAGCACCACGAGACGUCCAGUCUAAGAUAUCACGCCUGUUUUAGUUAAACAGAAGUAUAUCACGCAAAUGGCUAGCUUUUCCCAGCGCGAAACCAGGUGUGUCUACGUCCGGCCUUCGUAGGCAACCAUGAUCCUGCCGUUGCACCAUGACGGGGGCGCUAUUUCGAGCCUAGGUAAGCUCGGUUCCCUGGUCGGCCCGAUCAAAUCGCUCUUGUCAGCCUGCACGAGUAUCUAGAAUAUAGCACCUGGAGGUUCGGGACAAAUCGGGACCAAAUUAACAUCUUUCGUUUACAAGUGACACCUAAAUGAAAACAGAUGUUUGGAUGGUUAUUUUCCGAAUCGUUCGACAGGGACGCUCUUCGCGGACGAGCUUAUUUACCGUAACUGCCGUUGCCUUGACCACUGCUCAAAUACGGCACCCAAUCGCCCACAUAUCCUAUUCAAAAGCCUUUUCUCUAAAACAAUGAGUAAUUAAUUGUUAAUAGCAGCGCUGAGUGAAACGACGUUGCUUCAUCUAGGCCCGUUGAAGUAUCACUCUUCAAGUCUUUUUUUUCUCAUUUAAAAUUUGCGCCAUUGUUCUCCGCACGACGCAUAUAAUUAGUCGAUUUUAAGCUAGUGUCAUCAUCUCAAGCUAUUGAAUAUUAUCUAACAUUCGCUCUAUGAGAAACAUGAACUUUUUGUCUCGCUUUUUUCCCUUCGUUUCAGAAAGGGCUGGUGUCCGGCGACUCUAAACAAUUACGGAGAAAUCCGUUCCAAUUUAUCCCGAACAUUCUGUAGGCUAUUGGCAAGCAUUAUAAUUUUAUAUUGCCUAGACAAAUAAUGUAUUAUUCAAUUCGUUUAACCCUCGUGUGUUGCUGCGUUUUGUACAAUUUAUUAUUUAUCAAGUACUAACAAAAGAAAAAAAAAAGCAUACAAACACAUACGUGGGCUGCCGACGAAGGAAGGAUAAUUAUCGGCUGAAAAAAUGUAAAUAAAUA